UGUGACCACCAUUUGCCUCAUGCAGUGCGACACAUAUCCUUCACAUAGAGUUAACCAGCCUGUUGAUUGUGGCGAAGUUGCUGGGAACUGGAACACACUGUCGUACACGAUGAUCGAGAGUAUCACAAACAUGCUCAAUGGGUGACAUUUCUGCCAACUCCCAGACAACUUUUCCAGACAACUCCCCUGAAGCCUGUGUGUGUCAUUGAGCAAAAAAACGACACAUUCGUGUUCGUGAGAACCUCUCCUUUCAAGUCUCUCCAGUGUGCAAAGCUGUCAUCAAGGCAAAAGGGGAUUUGGAAUAAGACGGUGGAGACGGAGUAGGCUACGAUUCUCAGCAGCAGAUAUUCGUUUUUUUCUUACAUUUAGUUAUGUUUAGGGCUGUUGGUAGGCCUAACAGUCAUCUCAGUCAUUUUUUAAAAUUAAACCUUGUAUUUUUCAAUAAAUAAUGUUAUUUUUUAAUCACA